rnacentral:tRNA from 1 species
UGGGGUGGUGGCUCAGUGGUAGAGCGCUUGUCUCGAAUGCAUGAGGCCCUGGGUUCGAUCCUCAGCACCACAG